rnacentral:rRNA from 1 species
CAUGCAAGUCGAGGGGAAACGAUAUUGGAAGCUUGCUUCCGAUAGGCGUCGACCGGCGCACGGGUGAGUAACGCGUAUCCAACCUGCCCACCACUUGGGGAUAACCUUGCGAAAGUAAGACUAAUACCCAAUGACGUCUCUAGAAGACAUCUGAAAGAGAUUAAAGAUUUAUCGGUGAUGGAUGGGGAUGCGUCUGAUUAGCUUGUUGGCGGGGUAACGGCCCACCAAGGCUACGAUCAGUAGGGGUUUUGAGAGGAAGGUCCCCCACAUUGGAACUGAGACACGGUCCAAACUCCUACGGGAGGCAGCAGUGAGGAAUAUUGGUCAAUGGACGAGAGUCUGAACCAGCCAAGUAGCGUGCAGGAUGACGGCCCUAUGGGUUGUAAACUGCUUUUAUAAGGGAAUAAAGUGAGUCUCGUGAGACUUUUUGCAUGUACCUUAUGAAUAAGGACCGGCUAAUUCCGUGCCAGCAGCCGCGGUAAUACGGAAGGUCCGGGCGUUAUCCGGAUUUAUUGGGUUUAAAGGGAGCGUAGGCCGGAGAUUAAGCGUGUUGUGAAAUGUAGACGCUCAACGUCUGCACUGCAGCGCGAACUGGUUUCCUUGAGUACGCACAAAGUGGGCGGAAUUCGUGGUGUAGCGGUGAAAUGCUUAGAUAUCACGAAGAACUCCGAUUGCGAAGGCAGCUCACUGGAGCGCAACUGACGCUGAAGCUCGAAAGUGCGGGUAUCGAACAGGAUUAGAUACCCUGGUAGUCCGCACGGUAAACGAUGGAUGCCCGCUGUUGGUCUGAAUAGGUCAGCGGCCAAGCGAAAGCAUUAAGCAUCCCACCUGGGGAGUACGCCGGCAACGGUGAAACUCAAAGGAAUUGACGGGGGCCCGCACAAGCGGAGGAACAUGUGGUUUAAUU